GCUAAACGCGAAGAACCUUACCAGGGUUUGACAUCCUACUAAUUUCUCCGAAAGGAGAGAGUGUCUUCGGACCGUAGUGACAGGUGAUGCAUGGCCGUCGUCAGCUCGUGUCGUGAGAUGUUUGGUUAAGUCCAUCAACGAGCGCAACCCUUGUAACUAGUUGGAUUUUCUAGUUAGACUGCCCCGGUAACGGGGAGGAAGGAGGGGAUGAUGUCAGGUCAGUAUUUCCCUUACACCCUGGGCUAGAAACACGCUACAAUGGCCGGUACAAAGGGCAGCCAAGUCGCGAGACGGAGCAAAUCCUCAAAAAUAGUCCCAGUUCAGAUUGUGGGCUGCAACCCGCCCACAUGAAGUCGGAAUUGCUAGUAAUGGCAGGUCAGCAUACUGCCGUGAAUACGUUCCCGGGUCUUGUACACACCG
rnacentral:rRNA from 1 species